CUUUAGUGCCACGUUUUCCAGCAUCAUCAAACAUCAUCAGGAGGCCUAUGGUUCUCUCCUGUGUUUCCAAAGGAUUUAAUUGGGCUUGUUACUUGGACAUGCCUCUGCUAUGUUACCUGCUGCCCUGUAUUCUGAUGUAUCUGUGUCUGCUCUCGUUCCUGUUAAUCACGGACUUCCUUGAAAGUAGGAUCAUGCCUGCGUCAUGUUCACAUCUCUUACUAUAUCUAACAUGGUGCACAGCUCUUUGUGGAUAUUCUUAUUGGAUGCCUAAAAGACUAACUAAAUUACAUGGAUUGAAAUCAGGUCAGAAGACACUGAACCCUGAGAAACAAUUCAUUGUCUGAACUCCUCCCAUCUCUGGAAAAGGCUCUGCAAAUAGUUUCCACCAGUCAACGACCUAGAACACUAGGAAUUAGAUGCUGCAUCUAAUUCCUUGAGGACCUGGAUAAAACAAAAGGCAGAGGGAAGCUGGUUUCUCUCUUUGUUCUGGAGCUGGGACACUGAUCUUCCCCUUCCUUUGGACAUCAGAAGUUUAGGUUCUAAUGUUUUCACACUCAGCAACAUAUACCAGCGUCUCCUCUUGUUCUCAGACCUUUGGUUACACACCAUGGCUCCCCUGGUCCUCAGGCUUUAUAGUUUAGACUAAAUUACCACCCCAGCUUUUCCAUUUCUCCAGAUUGUGGAGGGUAUGUCAUGGGACUUCUCAACUCUGUAAUCACAUGCACCAAUUCCCAUAAUAAGUCCUCUUGUUUAUCUAUGUAUCUAUACAUUAGUAGUGUUUCUCUGAAGAACCCUGACUUAGCACAAGGAUCUACAAAAAAAGACAUCGUGGAUUCUCAAUAAGAAUGAAAGAAAACUCGUAAUUCGAGUCUUAAUAAUAACACUAAUUUAAAUGUCAAAAUAUAAAUAAUAUAAUCUAAAUAGUAAUAUACAGUGUAAUUAACAAAUGGACAAUUGUAUGUAUUACCUACAAUCUGGAUAUUCAUUAAAAAAUCAAAACUUUCCUUGAACAAUUGGGUUGUCAACCUAAUAGAUAUGUGUCCAUAGCUGUAGAGUGUGUGUAUAUAUGUGUGUGUCUUUACAUACAUGGAUAAAUGUAUAUAAGUACAUAAAAAUGCAUAUAAGUGAAUUUACUAAAAUUAUCUACAAUUUUCAUUGUUGUAAAUUCAUAUUUUAUGAAAUUUCUCAUAGUAUAUCAAGAACAUUUUUAAUAAAUGCAUUUUUUUCAAAACCAUGUGAAACAAUCUUUCCUGUAAGUUUAAUCGUGAGCUAAAGAGUUAUUUUAUAUUCUAUUCUAUAACCAUAAGUCUUUUCAAAACAGAAUAUCAAAGGAAUGACUUUUUUUAACAAACAGCAGAAAUUUGCUUUUAAGAUAAGUGGUAAAAUACACUAAAGACAAGACGAUCUAAAUGGUUAAUAUUCUGUAUUCUAACAGCUCUGUAGCAAAUGAUCUCAUAUAAUUUUGAAACAUUUUCAGCUUUUAUAGUGUGAAAUCCAGUUAAGAGUUUUCAUUCUCAAAAAUGCUAUAUCAGCAGUCUUCUCUUUCCUCAGUAUUUUUAAUACUAUCAUGCAUCAAAUAAUAUAUACAAGUGCCUUUAUUUGUAGCUAAAGCAAACUUGUCAUAUUCAGGGUAUAUAAUAUUU
rnacentral:lncRNA from 10 species